rnacentral:rRNA from 1 species
UACGGAGGGGGCUAGCGUUGUUCGGAAUUACUGGGCGUAAAGCGCACGUAGGCGGCUUUGUAAGUUAGAGGUGAAAGCCCAGGGCUUAACCCUGGAAUUGCCUUUAAGACUGCAUCGCUAGAAUCGUGGAGAGGUGAGUGGAAUUCCGAGUGUAGAGGUGAAAUUCGUAGAUAUUCGGGAAGAACACCAGUGGCGAAGGCGACUCACUGGACACGAUUGACGCUGAGGUGCGAAAGCGUGGGGAGCAAACAGG